CGCUCAUCCAGAGGGGCAGAGGGAAACGGCCCGAUGAAGCCCCGGCAACCCUCCAGCCGGCACUCGUAGAUCGCUGGUCAUCGUCGAUCACUCCGCGAGGCUCCCGGCUAGGGAAGGUGCCAAAUCCGUCUCACGGCGAGAUGCGUCGUGAGGAAGAUGAGGA
rnacentral:ncRNA from 2 species